AAUAAUGCAAGUCGAACGCGUUGGCCCAAUUGAUUGAUGGGCUUGCACCUGAUUGAUUUUGGUCGCCAACGAGUGGCGGACGGGUGAGUAACACGUAGGUAACCUGCCCAGAAGCGGGGGACAACAUUUGGAAACAGAUGCUAAUACCGCAUAACAGCGUUGUUCGCAUGAACAACGCUUAAAAGAUGGCUUCUCGCUAUCACUUCUGGAUGGACCUGCGGUGCAUUAGCUUGUUGGUGGGGUAACGGCCUACCAAGGCGAUGAUGCAUAGCCGAGUUGAGAGACUGAUCGGCCACAAUGGGACUGAGACACGGCCCAUACUCCUACGGGAGGCAGCAGUAGGGAAUCUUCCACAAUGGGCGCAAGCCUGAUGGAGCAACACCGCGUGAGUGAAGAAGGGUUUCGGCUCGUAAAGCUCUGUUGUUAAAGAAGAACACGUAUGAGAGUAACUGUUCAUACGUUGACGGUAUUUAACCAGAAAGUCACGGCUAACUACGUGCCAGCAGCCGCGGUAAUACGUAGGUGGCAAGCGUUAUCCGGAUUUAUUGGGCGUAAAGAGAGUGCAGGCGGUUUUCUAAGUCUGAUGUGAAAGCCUUCGGCUUAACCGGAGAAGUGCAUCGGAAACUGGAUAACUUGAGUGCAGAAGAGGGUAGUGGAACUCCAUGUGUAGCGGUGGAAUGCGUAGAUAUAUGGAAGAACACCAGUGGCGAAGGCGGCUACCUGGUCUGCAACUGACGCUGAGACUCGAAAGCAUGGGUAGCGAACAGGAUUAGAUACCCUGGUAGUCCAUGCCGUAAACGAUGAGUGCUAGGUGUUGGAGGGUUUCCGCCCUUCAGUGCCGGAGCUAACGCAUUAAGCACUCCGCCUGGGGAGUACGACCGCAAGGUUGAAACUCAAAGGAAUUGACGGGGGCCCGCACAAGCGGUGGAGCAUGUGGUUUAAUUCGAAGCUACGCGAAGAACCUUACCAGGUCUUGACAUCUUGCGCCAACCCUAGAGAUAGGGCGUUUCCUUCGGGAACGCAAUGACAGGUGGUGCAUGGUCGUCGUCAGCUCGUGUCGUGAGAUGUUGGGUUAAGUCCCGCAACGAGCGCAACCCUUGUUACUAGUUGCCAGCAUUAAGUUGGGCACUCUAGUGAGACUGCCGGUGACAAACCGGAGGAAGGUGGGGACGACGUCAGAUCAUCAUGCCCCUUAUGACCUGGGCUACCACGGGGC
rnacentral:rRNA from 1 species